UGACGAGGAAUGUUUCAGAUUUGAACCAUCGAGUUUUUAUUUUAUUCAAUGUUUCUUCCAUAAUAGAAAUCGAUAACAUAAUUUCUAUUAUAUAUACAUAUAUAUAUUUUUUAUUGUUUCUGUUUAUAAUUAAAAAAUCGAAUAUAAAUUUCAAUAAUAUGAUUUAACAGCUGUAUAAUUUAUCGAACGCUUAAUAAUAUCAGAUACUAUAAACUAUCCUGUAAUAACAACUUAGACAAUUUUAUACUUUGAUAGAUUUGUCAGAUUUAUUUCAAAUUUCACGAAUAUAAUCGCAAUAGUGGUGUCUCGGUACGUUAAUCGGGUCUCAGAAUAUCUCCUAUAAAACAUAUAGUAUAUUCGUAAAAGGUGUCCUACUACUUUCGUGAACCACUGUACGUAGGUAUGUAUAAGUAUAUAAAGACGUACAUAAUCGGUUGUUAACAACGUGUUAAUCGAAAGUAACGUGACUAUUAACGUUACGUUUAUAAUCUUCAUGCUUCUGUCUCGAUCUCAAGCGAAGCGAUUAAAUCGAGCGUAUGUUACUGCAAGUCUGUUGUCUCGCUUCAGCCGCAUCGUGUCUGUUGAAUAUCAAAAACUGCAACGAACAAAUAGAAUUUCCAAUCUCUAGUAACUCUAACUUUAUUAAUAACUAAAUUCCUUUCGAUCCGUUGUGAUCCUCUUUUUCUCGUAACAAGGAGAAACAUUGCUCCGUUUCCGGUAAAGAAUGCAAGCAACGAAACCACGAAAGUUUCCCUUUAGUUUCUUACAGAAGGUUCGAGGAAACAAAACGAAUAGAAACGUUAUAUUUUUCAGCGUGGGAGUCAUUUGAAUCACACGGUUCGGAAAUUGUUUGCGAUUCUAUAAAUUUUCGAACUCACUGGAUUUACUUUCAAUUUGGUCGAAAUUUCGAAUGUUUGCAAACCAGCAGUAAAAUCACGCGUACGCUCGGAAAAGAAGAAUCCUUUCAAUAUUGAACGUUCCCGCAUUCACGUCGAAGUCUGCUAAAUAAGCCUCGCUGAUGAGUUCGUCUAGUUCAUCUAACUUUUUUCAUUUUCUUUUCUUUUCGUUUUCUGCUUCUAAAUCACGAUUUGAAUCGCGCAAUUGUUGAAAGUCCCAUUCGUAUCGGACCCAUAAGAAUAUUAUUCGACCCGACGUAUGUAUAUAAGCCAGAGUAAAA